rnacentral:tRNA from 1 species
GGCUUUAUAGUCAAUAUAUGAUUUUAGAUUGCAAUUCUGGAGUAGUGAAUAUCACUAAAGCUU